rnacentral:rRNA from 1 species
CCUACGGGAGGCAGCAGUGGGGAAUCUUCCGCAAUGGGCGAAAGCCUGACGGAGCAACGCCGCGUGAUCGAAUGAAGGCCUGCGGGUUGUAAAGAUCUGUUGACAGGGACGAAUAAGCCAUGCGAAUAGUUUGGUGUAUGACGGUACCUGUUUAGAAAGCUACGGCUAACUACGUGCCAGCAGCCGCGGUAAUACGUAGGGAGCAAGCGUUUUCCGGAUUUAUUGGGUUUAAAGGGUGCGCAGGCGGGCUGUUAAGCCGGCGGUAAAAAUUCAGGGCUCAACCCUGUCGAGCCGUCGGAACUGGCAGCCUUGAGUGGGCGAGAAGUAUGCGGAAUGCGUGGUGUAGCGGUGAAAUGCAUAGAUAUCACGCAGAACGCCGAUUGCGAAGGCAGCAUACCGGCGCCCGACUGACGCUGAGGCACGAAAGCGUGGGGAUCGAACAGGAUUAGAUACCCCAGUAGUC